AGACAGCACCACCUCUAAAGCAGUCUUGUCACAAAAUAUUAAACCUGGACCUGAUCAAGCAUCUGGACUGGCUUAUGGAUAUAGAGAAAAUGUAGGAGAGAGAUGAGCACGGGAAAUGUCUCCAUGGGGCAAAAUUCACAAAAUUCAGAUUGUUGGACACUCUCCAGGACAAAAUGUCUAGAUUCUUCAAAAACACCAACAUUGAAAAAAAAAACUGCCAGAAAUAAAAAAUACAGAGGGAGAAGGACACAGAACACAUUUAUGAGUCUUUUCACCCUCAUUUUGUUGAAGAUUUCAUUGGGCGAAGAACCCUCAGUAGGCACGAAAUUCAUUCUCACAAGCAGAGAGAUGCAUUAUGCUCCAUUUAUUGCUCAUCCUAAAUUAUGAACAUUUCCAGUGAAUGUAAAGGAAGAGAUGAUUGAAAAGGACUCUGUGAAGACAGGAUGUUUCUGUACAGUCCUUGUAUCUGCUCAUCUAUUCCAAACUUUCCAGAGAUUUUACCAGAGUUUUAAGACAUUCUCCUGAGGGUUUGCUGUAGAGGGAUUUUUCUUAACUAAGGAGUGCAAGUAGCAAGCAAUAGCCCACCCAAUCGGAGACAAAAAAGAAGGGUGUCAGAGUUCCCAGUGUUAAAAAACAAAAACAAAAAAUCACCCUGGACACCUCUGAUAAUUAUACAAGGGGAUGUACACAGCCCUCGCCUUAUUUGAGUUCAAAAGGAAGGUGGGCUUUGAAAGAAGAACAAAGAGAGUAGAUCUCUCUGGAUCUUCUGAUGCUCACAGCAAAGAGCUCAAGGUAUCUGAGUCAACUCUUCAGGCUUCUUUGAACAGAGGGAUGAAGAGAGAAUAUGGCAAGCUUGCCAACAGGUCCCAGAAGUUUUAAGAGAAAAGAACAGAUUGCUCUUUGCAAAACAAACCGAGCUGGGUGCAUGGAGCCCCAGUAGAUAGAAAGUGAAGAAAACAUCAACUUUCUGAAAUUUUAGACAGGUGCACCAUCCCUUAUGGAUACCGAUCUGUGCUCCCUAUAAACUUCUGUGCCCAGGGUCAGCAGGCCAGGGACGACUGGCUCACCAGGAGGCCUAUACAUCCUCUUCUUCAGGCCCUAAUUACAGCUGUAUGUAAUAGGGACUCUGCCAUCUAACAGCCAAGGGGGUGGUUCCGUUUCUGCACAUGGUUUUUUCCACUGGGUCCCUUGAGGUCCAUGGUAAUCUCUUCCUCAUUCUCUGUAGGCAGAUCACACUUUAUAAUAAGAUCGGAGGCAGAGAACUUUGACCAGAUCGCACUUUAUAAUAAGAUCAGAGGCAGAGAACUCUGACCAGAUCACACUUUAUAAUAAGAUCAGAGGCAGAGAACUUUGACAACUACCCCCUUGUCCUCUGGCCCUGGGGUCAGGGCUACUCAAAUAACACCUGCUGUCCCAAACCUGGAGAAGUAUAGAUUUUGGCACUGGUAGAGGAAUAACAGCUAUUGUUGACACUUGAUCUUUUGGGCCUGGAAUUUCCACUAUGUUUUCACAACUCGGAGCCUAUUCCUGCCACCUCUGUCAGGGAAGAUAAAUGGGCAUGAAUACUAGACAGACGAGUUUCCCAAAAGCCCAGACAAGCUGCAGGGAACACGUAAUGAGCAGACAGUGUGGUUCAUGCCGGGGAGCCCAGGUUUAUCCAGGCCUCAUCCUCACUCCCUUUCUCUACUGAUAAUUGGACCCAACAGGACCAUUCUGAAUCAUUUUUCUCUCUUCAGUUAUUCUUCAGUUCUACUCAAAGGGUCAGUUUAGGGCAUAAUUAAAGUCAAUUACUUUCUGAAAGGCCAUCAGGACAACCGUUAGAGACAAUGAUAGCAGCCCCGCACUUGCUGUAGGAAUUAUUAGCUUGUCAGCCUCUAGGCUUAUGGAGACAAAGGACCAAAAAGUUAGAGAGAUCCAGGUGUUCACCUAUUUCUUCACUUAUUCUUUUAUUGUGAGUGUGCAUGUGUGUGGGUGUGUGUGACAUUUAUUAUGAACCAGAGGGCAGGAGCCAGCGACACAUGAAAGCAGGAAUAAUCAUAUUCCCUGCUUUCAUGGGGGCAUACAGCUUGGUGGAGGACACAGAUGUGAAUUCAGUAAUUGCUCCAAUAAAUAUUCUCCUACAGAUGAAGAAAGAUGAUACGAUGUGAUGGACAACACAGACUUAUAUGGUGGGGUCUGGGCUGGUCUUUCUGAAGCUAAGACUGGCAGGAUGAGCAGGAGUUUGCCAGACAAAGAGGAGUGGAGUUGUUUUCCAAACACAUCUCAGCACAAAGUGUUGUCUUUGCUGGGAGCUGAAAAAAGACAGUGUGGCCAGAGACCAUUAGGUGAGAUGCUGGAUAUGAGAUACAACCUCAACAGGUGGAAGAAAAUCGUGAGAGAUGAAGAGAGGAAUAUAGUACAGCAGAGAGGACACAGAAGCUGACGUCAGGGUGUCUCAGUUUGAAAUCAGUGGCCACCCUGUUCCUCUCCCAUGUGGUCCCAUCAUGGGCCUCUAGGGUCUGGGAUAAGAGGUUAAUGAAUAUCUCAUACCCUAAGCAGGGUGGUCCCUGCACUCUAGCAAAAAGUUAAGGAACUAGGGAAAAGAGAUGGAAAUAAUAAAGAAAUGGGACAAAGACUUUGAAGACCAAAGCCCUUGGGCUAUUCCCUUUUUAAAAUUUUUUAUUUAAAUUUUCUUUUAUUUUUAUCAAGACAGGGUCUCACUAUGUUGCCCAGGUUGGUCUCAAACUUCUGGCCUAAAGCAAUCCUCCCACCUUGGCCUCCCAAUGUGCUGGGAUUACAAUGUGAGCCACCACGUCUGGCCUCCUGGGAUAUUUCUCAAUGAAACAUUGGAUGCCACGAUUGGUUUUGUGCCACAUGCCAAUUUCACAGAAGCCAGUCUAUGAGCCACCAGCUCUACUCAGCAAUUACAGCUUCCGGAACUUUGGCUAAAUUCUCGUAGAUGCACCACUGCUUGUGGCCUGACUCUUUGCCACCCAAGUGUGCUCAGCCUCCCCUGGGGAGUCUGCCAGGCUUGCAUGGCUCCCACUGCACUUGCUGUGCUGGGACCGAAAACAGUUUUUGUGCCCCUAGCUUAACUCCACUGGAUUCAUAGAGGCUUUGGCCUCCUCAAUGGCUGUCCUGGGACAGGGAGGCUGGUUAGCACAAUUAACACAACCUGGUCAUGCAAGGCAUUGAUGGUCCGUAACAUGAACUUUGACCAGUAGGAGACAGAGAAUGGAAAAAAGCCAGCAGAUAAAUCAUCUGGCCUUCCUCCCCUAUGACGGACUGUUCUGAGCCACUGUGUUUCACAUGUUUCACAUGUCUUCCCUGGAGAUGUCCCACAUGACUUGAGCAACCAGCUGGAGCUCUAGAGAAACUGUGGCCAUCCUGGUAACAUAUGACCUUGUAUUUGCUUUCUCUCCUUCCUGCUUUAUUUCCCUAUGUCCCUUACUUUGGUUGUUGGGAUUGCACCUCCCAAUAAAGCAUUAGCAUGUC